rnacentral:rRNA from 1 species
CUUCUGCCACCGAAUACAUUAGCAUGGGAUAAUGGAAUAGGACCCUGUCCUCCUAUUUUGCGUGUUGGUUUUCGAGGACCGGGUAAUGAUUAAUAGGGAUAGUUGGGGGCAUUAAUAUUUAAUUGUCAGAGGUGAAAUUCUUGGAUUUAUGAAAGAUUGACUUCUGCGAAAGCAUCUGCCAAGGAUGUUUUCAUUAAUCAAGAACGAAAGUUAGGGGAUCGAAGACGAUCAGAUACCGUCGUAGUCUUAACCAUAAACGAUGCCGACCAGCGAUUAGGAGACGUUGAAUACAAAACACCACCGUCGGUUCGGCCGUCCUUGGCCGUCGUGCGCGGCGACGCGCGCGGCGGCGAGGGCGGUGUCUGCCCGACGGCCCGGUGAAUGACUCCCCUAG